AAGGGCAUACGGUGGAUGCCUAGGCGCCAAGAGCCGAAGAAGGACGCGGUAAGCUGCGAAAAGCUAGGAUGAGCUGCAAGCAAGCUUUGACUCCUAGAUUUCCGAAUGGGGGAACCCGGCGGUGGUAAUGCACCGUCACACUACUAAGUAGUG
rnacentral:rRNA from 1 species